CCUACGGGAGGCAGCAGUGGGGAAUAUUCGGCAAUGGAGGAAACUCUGACCCAGCAACGCCGCGUGAAUGAUGAAGGUCUUCGGAUUGUAAAGUUCUUUUCUAAGGGAAGAAGAAAGUGACGGUACCUUAAGAAUAAGCCUCGGCUAACUACGUACCAGCAGCCGCGUUACUACGUAGGAGGCGAGCGUUAGCCGGAAUGACUGGGCGUAAAGUGUGCGUAGGUGGUUUGGCAAGUUAGUAGCGUAACUCCAAGGCUCAACCUUGGAACUACUACUAAAACUGUUGGACUUGAGUGCAGGAGAGGCGACGGGAAUUCCUAGUGUAGCGGUGGAAUGCGUAGAUAUUAGGAGGAACACCAGUGGCGAAGGCGGGUUGCUAGACUGUAACUGACACUGAGGCACGAAAGCGUGGGGAGCAAACAGGAUUAGAUACCCCAGGAGUC
rnacentral:rRNA from 1 species